rnacentral:lncRNA from 1 species
UGUUAUGUAAUUACGAGCAUUUUAAAAUAUGCAUAUAUUCUGAAAUUAUAUACGUCCUCACAAUUAAAUAAAUUCGGCCACUAGAAAAAAACAUGGGCCGAAUCUUGAUCUGGCCCAACAGAGGCACAUGGCUCGCGUGAUGACUAAGUGACGCCCAGGGCGUAGCUUAGCAGGAAGGCUGGGGCCAACCUUGGGCAUUAUAGGUUGGCUUGGGGAGGUGGCUCGGCCUUGCGGAGUGAGGCAGCGAGGCUAGGCCGCGUGGGGCGCCAGUCCAUGCUGGCGCAGGCAGGGUGCUGGGCUACGGAGCGGGCCGAUUAGGCCGGCUCACGUAGGGUCAACGCGAGCGACGAGCUCGUCGUCUCCCGAGCGUGCAGGGAGGCCAUGGCGGCGGCGAGGAACGGAAGCGGGACUGGGGGUUCCCGGAGGCAGAUCCGGCCUCGGGGCCGCCGGAUCUGAAGUGGGGCAGCCGACAGCAGUGCUCGGGGUCGGGGCGGCGGCAUCCUGCACGGCAAGCGGCCAUGGCUUUGCGGGGAGCUGCUGGCGGCACGGGGCACUCCGGUGAGGCAACGAGGGGCGGAUGCGCAAGGAGGUGACGUGCUUCGGUGCCCUCUGAACGGAGGUGGAGCAGAUUGGGGAGGCGGUUUCGACACUUCAGGGGAGCCACGGGAAGACUUGGGCAGCUGCGAGCACUGGCUUGCGGUGGCCCGAUGCGGGCCCGGGCAGGCUGGAUAUGGGUCCUGCGGGCCUGUGGCGUCUCGGAGGAGGCGCGGGUCAGUUGGCUGGCGGCAGCGCUAGGGUUGGGGCAUAGAGCCCGAGGUGGAAGAGGGGUUAUGGUCCAAAUUAGGCAGGUUGGGGUCUAUUUAUAGCAAAAUGGGGUUAGGGUUAGCUAUUUUAGCAUGGUUCGAGCCAUUCGAUCGUGAUUUGACGGCUCUGAUCGUGGGUUAGAUUAGGUGGACUAUGGGUUGUGUAGAGUGGUAAUGGGCUGAUAUGAGAUGGAGUUUGUGGCCCGAGACACGCGUUUUAAAAACUCCAAAAACUUCUGACAAUUAAAUGAUGGUGGUGCCGCUACGGUCGACCGUUCGGUUAUCAAACGGACUCCGGUUGAGAUGAAAUUUGGUAGGUUGUCCACCUAUAACAAUAUAAGUCCGCCCGCUAAGGUUCGAUCAAUCCGACAAUAUUUUAUACUUACUUUUGAAAACAAUAUCUUAAUGGUGCCGCGGGCAUGGACGUCUGUGGUUGGUCUCAAACGAUCCACCACAAAAACGGAGAGAAGCGACAGCUACUAAGAGAUGCAAGUUGUGAAAAUUGACGACAACGGAGUGCCGAUGCAAUGCAGAUGUGCGAAUGGUGCGAUGAAGAAUGAAAAAACAAAAUAAUUAACAAGGCAGCAACGGAAUAAAAGGGGAAUCUUCUGGAUGGUCGGUUUCGGACUGUUAUAACUCUCCUACACUAACAAGAGAUCUCGCCCCGAGAUCUAAGAAUGAAAGGAAAAGAGGAAGAGGUAAAACUUAGUUGCUCCUUGACAAACGAGUGAAACCAACGAUCCUUUAUGGUUGCAAAGAGACGAAGAAUGAUGUGAGAAGAAAACAAGAAUUCAAACAAAAUUUCAGCAGUAAUUCGGUAGGAAAGAGGGCAAAAUUGAUAAGAUGAAAAGAACUUAGAAAGGAUUUCAUGACACUCCGGUUGAAUGGACAAGCAAGGGAAGAACAUGAUCUUGACAAGACGAGAUGAUGGAACAAAGAGAGCAACAUCACAUGCCCCUAGAACAAAAGAAUAAAAACUAUAUCUUUAGAGAGAAGAGAAAAGAGAAGAAAAAGAAAGCUUCCACCACAAUUGAAUUUUUAGAGCAACCAUACAAGAAGAAUUGAGUGGAGUUGUUGUGAGGCGAACAACGAAAUAAGAAGUUUGUUAUGGGUUAUGGGAAACAUCUCAAAAUUAUGAGGUGAGAACCAACCACUAAGAGAAACAAUUGAUUGCUUGGGAGCAACAAGAGAUGAAAACUUCUUCCACCAAGAGGGUACAUUGAGAACCUAGAUAAACGGUAAUCACCAUAAUAGGAACAGUCCUUAGGAAAGCUUUAGGUGAAAUCGAGCCAAGAUAGCAUGAAUGAACAAAUCAUAGGUUGAAAAUAUCUCAUGAUCAAAUAAUUUGAUGGGUUUAAAUAUCUCAUUCUUGAAACAAAUUAUCUUCAAGACUCCUCAUGAAUGAAAAAUGCUAUAAUACCAUCUCAAAAGAUAAUGAAGGAAGAAUUGCACUUGAAAUGCGAGAGAAAGAAUACUUGAGGUUCUCCAACAAGGAACUGGAAGAACACCUUGAGAAUGAAUCGAAUCCUUAAAGAACCACCAUGAAGAACUUAUGUAUACAAAAGGAUAAUCAAAAGACAUCAAGGUUCAAAAGAAUAAGAUUAUGGCCUUGCAAAGAUUUAGACCAAGCUUCAUGAAGGGAUACUUGAGAAAAACUUGGAACUUCGGAAGAAAAGAUAAGAACACUUGGGAUAGAGAAUUAGAUAUCACGAACAACUCCAGGAAAGAAGGAUUGAAUUCACCUUGAAGAACAAGAAUAAUAAUAAUGUAAUGCCUAUCCUUCAUCAAGUUAAAAUUAUGACAAUCAAUGGAUUUAGCAUACCACUUAUUCUUUUUGAAAAAUUGGAGAGAGAGAGAUACAGCACAAACUUGAAGAAGUCUUGGAAGAAACACCAUAAGAAUUUGGAAUGUAAGAGGACAAGAGAGCAUGAUUCGAUUAGAGAAUGGUUGAACAAGCCGCAGGUAAGAAUUCACAAAUGAAUGAAAUUACCAUGAAUGAAUGAAGAUACAUGAGAACAAAGAGAUCAUGAUCGACCUGAAGAAUUUAGAACAUAUGUGGACAUUAGAAAUGAAUGGGAUACAUGAGAAUGAAAAGAUCUUGCGCCGCCUAACGGAAAACUUGAAUGAGGCACCAAAAUAAUUGAGAGACGAACAAAGAGACAACAAUUGAGAAGAAUUUGAGAUUUAAAGCUAAAAGGUGAGAAUGAAGAAAUCUUCUGAGAUGAUGGCCUUUGGAGGAUUGAGAAAUGAAAACAACUAUGUAAUCCACCGGUUAGAUAUGGAAGGAAUUACUCAUGACCAAAAACAAUUUGAAAGGAUAGAAAUAAGCUAAGACAACAAAUCUUAAAAAUAAUGGACAAAGAUUUAAGAGAAACACUUAUUCGGUCUUCAAUGUGGAGAAUGAUGAGAAUAAACACCACCAAAAUUACUGAGACACUCCGAGAUAAUGAAGAAACAAAGGUUGAGCCAAUGAUGAAAAUUAAUUGGAAGCGAUCUUGAAGAUGGAAUAUGACUGAUGGAAUCCAUUCUUACAUCAUAUUUGAAAAUAAUUAGAGAUCCUCGCAGACGAUUAGGAAAUCCAUGUAUGAUCCUAGGUAAACAUGUGGGUUAUGGGCCCACAAAAAAACACCGUUGAAAAGAUUGCUUAGAUUUAAAGACAUUGCACCAGUACAAAUGAAGAACUUGGUGAGAUGAGAGCCUUGAAAUAACUGAAGGAUUUGAAUGAAAACAUGAAACUUCUGAGAUAUCUACAACAAUCCAGAUAGAAUAGAGAGAGGAUGAAUAAAUAAGAGAGAGUUGAAUAAGAAUUUCCAACACAUGAACCGUUUAAAUGAUGAAAAGGAUAUGAUGAACACCGAAAUCUUGAAUUGAAUCCACGAGAGAAGAACACAAAAAUGAAGAAUGAUGAACUUAGAACUUGAGCAUAUUCACAUGGAACACAAAGGAUACAUUAUGGAGGAAAAGAUAGGGGAAGCAUAGAUGAAAUGAAAGGCACUAGGAUGACAAUUUAUUCAUUGAAGAAAAGGGCGGGGNNNNNNNNNNNNNNNNNNNNNNNNNNNNNNNNNNNNNNNNNNNNNNNNNNNNNNNNNNNNNNNNNNNNNNNNNNNNNNNNNNNNNNNNNNNNNNNNNNNNNNNNNNNNNNNNNNNNNNNNNNNNNNNNNNNNNNNNNGGGGGGGGGGGGGGGGAAAAACAAAGACAACUUGGGACAGAUCAGAUGAACUCCGGAAAGAAAUAAGAGAAUUGAUCUUGCAAAAUUUGGAGAGGAUUGUAUUAUCUUGAAGAGAAGUACUCCAGAUGGAAAAUAAUUUCAUGACAAUUUCGGUUUGAAAAUAAUUGAUAAACAAUUUGAUUGAGCAAAAGAAUUUAUACUCUCAUAUAAAUAUGAGAACACCACUUCAGAAGGAUAUGAGAUCACCACUUGACAUCAAUGCAACUCGAAUUACCAUACUCCAACAAAACAAAGGAUGAGGCUUACUAAACAAGCUGGAAUCAAAUAUAUGACAGAGAUUCUACGUGAUAUUUUCUUGGUCAGGUUCGCACGGGCUCGACCGUACAUUGGAUUGUCAUAUUGAAAUAACGCUCGAAUGUGCUCCCUAGGCGCAGCAAACUACAAGGCUUGACAAAGCAUAACGAGACUAUCCUCUUUAAAAAAGACCGUGAACAAACAAAUCCACUAGAUGUCGAACCCCAACCUCACAUCAUGUAUCUGUUGGGAGAUAAUUCUUGGUAAAUACUUAAAUUCCCACCUAAGAACUCAUAAAAGUUUCUGGUUAUGCAAUCGGGUCCACGAAUACAAGAAGUAAAAUCCAUCACCCAACUCCUAGCAAUAACACUGCCCAACCGGUGUGUCACAUAUGUCAACACAUAACUAGAGCUCUCGGAAACUCAUCUACCUCAGACCCUCAUAAUCACAAUGAUACCAAGUAUUGAAGUACAUCCGAACGCUCUCCACCGGUACUAGGGAUGCUAGACUCCUCUCUCCACUACUAGUAUUGAAGUAACUUCGAACAUCCUCCGUCUUGAGAUACUAAGGAAAGUGAACGAUAGCGAGUGUGACAAGAAUCCCCUGGAGCUCAACUCCUCGAUAACAAGAGGCACCAAGAACAAAAUCCCGGUCACAACGACAUCGUAGAGGUUCCAAAUACCCGCCUGAUCCUAAAUUUUUUUGAGUUAGAAGAGGAGUAGAAUUAAAAUUCCUAAGUCGUAAACCCCACCAGAGUAGGGAAGAGGAGUAAAAUGAAUCAUAUUCUCUGAUAUAUAACUAGACUCAAAGUAGUUUUUCACUAGACUCGGCUCGGCCAAGUUCGAUCAAUCAAUGGGGCUCCUAGGUCGGUACUUCUCUGAUACCAACUUGUAACACCCAAGAUCCGAUCCUAUUUUUAUUUUUGGUACGAGGGCCUUGACAGGGAUAGAAGUGUAUCUCGUCAUUUCACGAGAAUAGAUAUCGUUACAAGUACAUGUAUAGAAGAUAAGAGUAUAUGGAAUUGGCUUAGACUCACCACAAGCUACAACAUGAUCAACAAAACACAUGAAUACAUCCAAUCAUCAUAGAAAAGAGCAGGGUCCAACUACGGACGAAAUCAAACGAUAAAAGAACGACGUCCAUACUUGCUAUCCCAAGCUGCCGGCUUGGAACCCAUCCUAGAUCGAUGAAGAAGAAGAAGAAGAAGAAACUCCAAACAGAACAAUCAUCACGCUCACGUCAAGGUAUCGCUUUACCUGUACCUGCAACUGUUGUUGUAGUAAUCUGUGAGACACAGGGACUCAACAAUCUCAUUUCCAAAGGUAUCAAGACUAGCAAAGCUUAAUGGGUGAGGUAUGGUUAAGUGGUGAGGCUGCAGCAAGCACUAAGAAUUUAUUUGAGGAAGCUAACUUACGAGUACAAGAAUAAAAGGGGGAUGAUCUACGCAUAACGGACGUGACUAACGAUGAUCCUAAACACCUACUUGCGUUAGACAUAACCCCACCGAUUCCUCUUCCGGAAAAAGAACUCACGAGAAGAGACAGUCACGGUUACGCACACAGUUGGGAAGUUUUAAUUAAGUUUACUUCAAGUUAUCUAUAAUUGGAUGUUAAACAAAGUUUCCAAGUUUUCGACAUAACCGCGGGCACGGCUUUUCGAAAGAUUUAACCUUGUAGGGGUGCUCCAACUAGUCCAUCACAAACUACCACACGCUGCGGCGGAAACCUCGACCGCGGAAAACCCAUGAUCUCCUUAGAUUCUUGGUGGAAAACGUAAACCUCGAGAUAGCCCAAAGUAUCCUCGAAAUUGCUCACACAAGACGUUUGAGAAAGGUAAAACAAAUCCAGCAAGGCCGCCCGACGUGUCAACAAUCCCAAUAGGAGCCGCAUAUCUCGUUUUCAGGACACGACAGACGAGUGAUGGUUACCACGCCAAAACACGAGUUGCCCUGGGGAGCGUUAAUAAGUUGCUCUCGGUUGGACCAACACUCAUCAGGAGCACUCGCCCAGGGGUUGAUUAAUUAUCCAUGGGUUAAUUACUCCCUAUGCGGUUCAUUAGUUAUUAGGAAAAUAUAGUACCAAUAUUGGGCCUUGCCAGACGAGUUUUAUCCCAAAAUAAAAAUCUAGGGGGCCCCAUAAAUACCCCAAGCAUGUUAGGAGCGCUCAUUUAUGGAACAUAACACCGGUAGUCGAAACUAAGGAGGCAAAAGCGGAACAAAACACCCAGCCAAAAGACUAAGACUUCCACCUUUUACCACGUAUAUAGGUGCAUUAAAUUAAAUAGAAAUAAUAUGGUGAUAUAACAAGUAACUAUUUUUUUCAAAUGGAAGCAACUAUACCUACAACUAGCAACGCUAUAUGAAGGCUGAGCAGGCGGUAACGUAGCCAAACAGUGGUUUGCUCGGUUGUGGAAAGGUUAGAGGCUUUUCAUAGCAAUGUUGGGAGGCUUAUUAAACAUGUGGCAAGCAGCAAGACAUAGCGAAAGAAACGAGUCAACUAGCAUGGCAAUGAUAGUAAUGGUAUCUAGGGAAAUGGUCAUCUUGCCUGAGAUCCCACUUGGAAGAAGAACGAAUACGUGAAGCAGACAAACCAACGUAGUCGAACGAAUCCUCACACUCCGACACGCUUGCGGAACUCAAUCGAGAAGAAGUAACCCGGAAACAAGAAUCAACACACGAUAUGUUGGGGAAUGUAGCAUGGGAAACAAAAAAAUUCCUACGCACACGAAGACCUAUCAUGGUGAUGAUCAUCUACGAGAGGGGAGAUCGGAUCCACAUACCCUUGUAGAUCGCUAAGAGGAAGCUUUAAUAAACACGGUUGAUGUAGUGGUACGUCUUCACGAUCCGUCCCACAAACCGUCCCACGAUCCGUCCCACGAACCGUCUCGUGAUCCGUCUCGAUCAAGUGCCGAACGGAUGACACCUCCGCGUUCCGCACACGUACAGCUCGAUGACGAUCUCCACCUUCUUGAUCCAGCAAGAGAGAUGGGGAUGUAGAUGAGUUCCCCGGCAGCGCAACGAUGCUCUGGUGGUGUGGUGAUCUAUUCCUGCAGGGCUCCGCCCGAGCUCCGCAGAAAACCGAUCUAGAGGAAGAACUACGAAGUAGAGGUUUAGGGUUGCACAUGGCAAAGUUGUGUCUCAAACAGCCCUAAACCAGUAGUAUAUAUAGGAGGAGGGAGGGGAAGGCCUUGCGACACAAGGGAGGAGCCCUUGGGUCGGCAGAAGUGGAGGAGGGAGGAGUCCUCCUCGAAUCCCACUUGGAUUAGGACUCCUUCCUUAAUUUCCCACCUCUUUUGGAUUUUCCACUUUUUCCUCAUGGGCUUUCCUUGGAUGACUUUGUCAGCCAUUAAGCCUUAUUGCGCAUCCAAUAAACCCACGUGGACCCCUUGGGGCAUGGUGGGCCCACCCAGUGGGCCCCCGGAAACCAUUCGACACUCCUGGUACACUACCGGCAAUGCCCGUAAACCUUCUAGAAUCCAAAUACCAACUUCUUAUAUAUCAAUAUUCGUUUCUGGACCAUUAUGGAACACCUCGUGAUGUGCGGGAUCUCAUCCAGGACUCCUAACAAAACUUAGGUCACCAACACAUAUAACUCAACUAUACCGAAAUGUCAGUGAACCUUAAGUGUGCAGACCCUGCGGGUUCGAGAGUUAUGCACACAUGACCUGAGACACUCUCUGGUCAAUAACCAUUAGCGGGACCUGGAUGUUCAUAUUGGCUCCCACAUAUUCUACGAAUAUAUCUAUCGGUUGAACCUCUAUGUGAAGGAUUCAGUUAAUCUCGUAUGUUGUUCCCUUUGUCCUUUGGUAUGUUACUUGCCCGAGAUUCGAUCGUCGGUAUCUCCAUCCCUAGUUCAAUCUCGUUACCGGCAAGUCUCUUUACUCUUUCUGUAAUACAAGAUACCAUAACUAACUCCUUAGUUACAUUGCUUGCAAGGCUUGUUGUGAUGUUGUAUUACCGAGUGGGCCCCGAGAUACCUCUCUGUUACAGGGAGUAACAAAUCCCAGUCUUGAUUCAUGCCAACCCAACAGACACCUUUGGAGAUACCUGUAGAGCACCUUUAUAGUCACCCACUUACAUUGCGAUGUUCGAUAACCCAGAAGGUAUUCCUCCGGUGUCCGGGAGUUGCAUGAUCUCAUGGUCAUAGGAACAGAUACAUUGACAUGCAGAAAACAAUAGCAAUAAACUGACAUGAUCAUACGCUACGUUUAUAGUUUGGGUCUUGUCCAUCACAUCAUUCUCCUAAUGAUGUGAUCCCAUUAUCAAGUGACAACACUUGUCCAUGGUUAGGAAACCUUAACGAUGUUUGAUCCACAAGCUAGUCAACUAGAGGCUUACUAGGGACAGUGUUUUGUCUAUGUAUCCACACAUGAACAAAGAAAUAUAAUAAUAACUAAUUUAUUAUUGCCUCUAGGGCAUAUUCCCAACAGUCUUCCACUUGCACUAGAGUCAAUAAUCUAGUUCACAUCAAUAUGUGAUUUUAAGGAAUCCAACACCCAUAUAGUUCUGGGGUUUAAUCAUGUCUUGCUUGUGAGAGAGGUUUUAGUCAACGAGUCUGAACCUUUCAGAUUUGUGUGUGCUUCACAAAUCUCUAUGUUAUCUUGUAGAUGCUGCUACUACGUGCCAUUUGGAACUAUUCCAAAUGACUGCUCCACUAUACGAAUCCGCUUUACUCCUUAGAGUUAUUCGGAUUAGUGUCAAAGCUUGCAUCGACGUAACCCUUUACGACGAACUCUUUAAUCACCUCCAUAAUCGAGAAAAAUUCCUUAGUCCAUUAGUUACUAAGGAUAACUUUGACCGUUGUUCACUGAUUCAAUCUUGGAUCACUCUUUGUACCCCUUGACAUACUUAUGGCAAGGCACACAUCAGGUGCGGUACACAGCAUGGCAUACUUUAGAGCCUACAACUAAGGCAUAGGGGACGACCUUCGUCCUUUCUCUUUCUUCUGUCAUGAUUGGCUUUUGAAUCUUUACUCAAAUUCAUACCUUACAACACAGCCAAGAACUCCUUCUUUAUUGAUCUAUUUUGAACUCCUUCAAAAACUUGUCAAGGCAUGCAUUUCAUUGAAAGUUCUAUUUAGCAUUUUGAUCUAUCUCUAUAGAUCUUGAUGCUCAAUGUUCAAGUAGCUCUAUCCAGGUUUUCCUUUGAAAAACUCCUUUCAAACAACCCUUUAUGCUUUCCAGAAAUUCCACAUUACUUCUGAUCAACAGUAUGUCAACCACAUAUACUUAUCAGAAAUUAUAUAGUGCUCCCACUCACUUCUUUGGAAAUACAAGUUUCUCAUAACCUUGUAUAAACCCAAAAGCUUUGAUCAUCUCAUCAAAGCGUAUAUUCCAACUCUGAGAUGCUUCCACCAGUCCAUAGAAGGAUCGCUGGAGCUUGCAAACUUGUUAGCAUCCUUAGGAUCGACAAAACCUUCUGGUUGUAUCACAUACAACAUUUCCUCAAGGAAACCGUCGAGGAAACAAUGUUUUGACAUCCUAUGUGCAAUAUUUCAUAAAUAAUGCAGCAACUGCUAACAUAAUUCCAAUAGACUUUGAGCAUCGCUACGAAUGAGAAAGUCUCAUCAUAGUCAACUCUUUGAACUUGUCGAAAACAUCUUUGCGAUAAGUCGAGCUUUUCUUAAUGGUGACUUGUCACCAUCAUCGUCUGUCUUCCUUUUAAACAUCCAUGUGUACUUAAUAGUCUUACGACCGUCAAGUAGUUCUUCCAAAGUCUAUACUUUGGUUUUAUACACGGAUCCUCUCUCGGAUUUCAUGGCAUCCAGCCAUUUGUCGAAAUCCAGGCCCACCAUCGCUUCUCCAUAGCUCGUAGGUUCAUUGUUGUUCAACAACAUGACCUCCAAGACAGGGUUACCGUACUACUCUAUAGCAGUACGCGACCUUGUCGACUUACGAGGUUUGUAGUAACUUGAUCCGAAGCUUAAUGAUCACUAUCAUCAGUUUCCACUUCAAUUGGCAUAGGCGCCACAUGAACAACUUCUUGCGCCCUCCUACACACUGGUUGAAGUGACGGUUCAGUAACCUCAUCAAGUUCCACCACCCUCCCGCUCAAUUCUUUCGAGAGAAACCUUUCCUCGAGAAAGGACCCGUUUCUAGAAACAAACACUUUGCUUCCGGAUCUGAGAUAGGAGAUGUACGCAACUGUUUUGGAUAUCCUAUGAAGAUGCAUUUAUCCGCUUUGGGUUCGAGCAUAUCAGACUGAGACUUUUUCACAUAAGCGUCUUAGCCCCAAACUUCCAAGAAACGACAGCUUAGGUUUCUCCAAACCAUAGUUCAUACGGUGUCAUCUCAACGGAAUUACGUGGUGUCCUAUUUAAAGUGAAUGCGGUUGUAUCUAAUGCCUAACCCAAAACGAUAGUGGUAUUUCGAUAAGAGACAUUAUAGUAUGCGCUAUAUCCAAUAGGGCGCGGCUAUGACGUUAGGACACACCAUCAUACUAUGGUGUUCUAGGCGGCAUGAAUUGCGAAACAAUUUCCACAUUGUCUUAACUUUGUACCAAAACUCGCAGCUCAGAUAUUCGUCUCUAUGAUCAUAUUGUAGACAGUUUAUCCUCUUGUCACGACGAUCUUCACUCUGAAAUAGAAUUGAUCUUUUCAAUAUUUCAGACUUGUGAUUCAUCAAGUAAAUACUCAUGUAUCUACUCAAAUUGUUAGUGAAGUAAGAACAUAACAAUAUCCACUGCGUGCCUCAGCACUCAUUGGACUGCACACAUCAAAAAAUGUAUUACUUCCAACAAGUUACUUUCUUGUUCCAUCUCACUGGAAAACGAGGCCUUCAGUCAUCUUGCCCAUGUGGUAUGAUUUGCAUGUCUCAAGUGAUUCAAAAUCAAGUGAGUCCAAAUGAUCCAUCUGCAUGGAGUUUCUUCAUGCGUUUAUACCAAUAGGUAUGGUUUAAAUGUCUCAAACGUUUCAAAAAUGAGUGAGUACAAAGAUCCAUCAGCAUGAGUGCCACAAGUAAGUGGUACUCUCAUUACUACUUUGUAUCUUUUGGCAUCAAUAUUAUGAACAUGUGUAGCACUACGAUCGAGAUUCAGUAAACCAUUGAAGGUAAUUAUUCAAGCAAAUAUAAUAACCAUUAUUCUCUUUAAAUGAACAAUCGUAUUGCAAUAAACACGAUCCAAUCAUGUUCAUGCUCAAUGCAAACACCAAAUAACAAUUAUUUAGGUUUAACACCAAUCCCGAUGGUAGAGGGAGCGUGCGAUGUUUGAUCACAUCAACCUUAGAAUUACUUUCAACACACAUCGUCACCUCACCCUUGCUAGUAUCCUUCUAAUCCGUAGCUAUAAAUUCAAGUUACUAACACUUAGCAACUGAACCGGUAUCUAAUACCUUGGUGCUACUAGGAAUACUAGUAAGGUACACAUAAAUAUCAGGUAUAUCCAAUAUACUUUUGUCGACUUUGCCAGCCUUCUCAUCUACCAAGUAUCUAGGGUAGUUCAGCCUCAAUGACCGUUUCCUUCAUAACAGAAGCACUCAGUCUCGGGUUUGGCUUCAACCCUGGGUUUCUUCACUAGAACAACAACUGUUUUCCCAUUUCAUAAAGUAUCCCUUCUUACCCUUGCCCUUUCUUGAAACUAGUGGUUUUACUAACCAUCAACAAUUGAUGCUCCUACUUGAUUUCUACUUUCGCAGUCUUAAACAUUGCGAAUAGCUCAAGGAUCAUCAUACGUAUCCUUGAUAUGUUAUAGUUCAUCACGAAGCUCUAGUAGCUUGGUGGUAGUGACUUUGGAGAACCAUCACUAUCUCAUUUGGAAGAUCAACUCCCACUCGAUUCAAGCGAUUGUAGCACUCAGACAAUCUGAGCACAUGCUCAACGAUUGAGCUUUACUCCCUUACUUUGUAGACAAAGAAUCUUGACGGAGGUCUUAUACCUCUUAACAAGGGCACGAGCAUGAAAUCCCAAUUUCAUCUCUUGGAACAUCUCAUAUGUUCCGUGACGUUUCAAAACGUCUUCGGUGCCCCAAUUCUAAGUCGUUAAGCAUUACGCACUGAACUAUCACGUAGUCAUAAAAAACGUGUAUGUCAGAUGUUCGCAACAUCCACAGACGAUGCUCGAGGUUCAGCACACCGAGUGGUGCAUUAAGGACAUAAGCCUUCUGCGCAGCAAUGAGGACAAUCCUCAGUUUACGGACUAAGUCUGCAAAAUUGCUACUAUCAUCUUUCAACUAAAUUAUCUCUAGGAACAUAUAAAAACAGUAGAGCUACAACGCAAGCUACAACAUACUUUGCAAAGACCUUUUUGACUGUGUUCAUGAUAAUUGAGUUUAGCUAAUCAUAUUACUAAUAACUCCCACUCAAAAUAGACAUCCCUCUAGUCAUUUGAGUGGCGCAUGAUCCAAAUCCACUAACUCAAGUCCGAUCAUCACGUGAGUUUAGUAUAGUUUUAGUGGUGAACAUCUCCAUGUUGAUCAUAUCAACUAUAUGAUGCAUGCUCGACCUUUCAGUCUCUUGUGUUCCGAGGCCAUGUCUGUACAUGCUAGGCUUGUCAAGUUUAACCUGAGUGUUCCGCGUGGGCAACUGUUUUGCACCCAUUGUAUGUGAAUGUUGAGUCUAUCACACCCGAUCAUCACGUGGUGUCUCGAAACGACGAACUGUAGCAACGAUGCACAGUCGGGGAGGACACAAUUUUAUCUUGAAAUUUUAAUGAGGAAUCACCUUAUAAUGCUACCAUUGUUCUAAGCAAAAUAAGGUGCAUAAAAAGGAUUAACAUCACAUGCAAUUCAUAAGUGACAUGAUAUUGCCAUGAUCUUGUGCUUCUUGAUCAUCAUCACCAAAGCACCGACAUGAUCUUCAUCGUCACCGGCGCCACACCAUGAUCUCCAUCAUCGUGCCGCCAUCGAGGUUGUCGUGCUAUCGAUGCUAUUACUACUAAAGCUACAACCUAGCAAUAUAGUAAACACAUCUACAGGCACAAACGUUAGUUUAAAGACAAACCUAUGGCUCGUGCCGGUUGCCGUAGCAUUGAUGUGCAAGUAGAUAUUUAACUAUUACAACAUGAUCAUCGCAUACAUCCAAUAUAUCACAUCAUGUCUUUAGCCAUAUCACAUCACAUGCAUACCCUGCAAAAACAAGUUAGACGUUCUCUAAUUGUUGUUGCAUGUUUUACGUGGCUGCUAUGGGUAUCUACUAUGAUCGCAUCUUACUUACGCAAAAGCCACAACGGUAAUAUGCAAAUUGCUAUUUAACCUUUCUCCAAGGACCGCCUCGGUCAAAUCCUAUUCAACUAAAGUUUAAGAAACAGACACCCGACAGUCAUCUUUAUGCAACAAGUUGCAUGUUAGUCAAUGAAACCUGUCUCUCGUAAGCGUACGAGUAAGAUUGUUCCGGGCAGCUUUAAUCCAACAAUACCGCUGAAUCGAGAAAAGACUAAGGAGGGCAUAAAAUCGAACAUCAACGCCCACAAAAACUUCUGUGUUCUACUCGAGAUUUCAUCUAAGCAUGAACCUAGCUCAUGAUGCCAUUGUUGGGGAACGUAGCAUGGGAAACAAAAUUUUCCUACGCACACGGAGACCUAUCAUGGUGAUGAUCAUCUACGAGAGGGAGAUCGGAUCCACAUACCCUUGUAGAUCGCUAAGCGGAAGCGUUAAUAAACGCGGUUGAUGUAGUGGUACCUCUUCAUGAUCCAUCCCACGAAACAUCCCACGAUCCGUCCCACGAACCGUCUCGUGAUCCGUCCCGAUCAAGUGCCGAACGGACGACACCUCCGCGUUCCGCACAUGUACAACUCAAUGACGAUCUCUGCCUUCUUGAUCUAGCAAGAGAGACGGGGAUGUAGAUGAGUUACCCCGCAGCGCGACGACGCUCCGGUGGUGGUGGUUAUCUAUUCCUGCAGGGCUCUGCCCGAGCUCCGUAGAAAACCGAUAUAGAGGAAGAACUAUGAAGUAGAGGUUUAGGGUUGCAUGUGGCAAAGUUGUGUCUCAAACAGCCCUAAACCUCUAGUAUAUAUAAUUGGAGGGAGGGGGCAGGCCUUGCACCACAAGGGAGGAGCCCUUGGGUCGGCCGAAGUGGAGCAGGGAGGACACAUCCUCCAAUCCCACUUGGAUUAGGACUCCUUCCUUAAUUUCCCACCUCGUUUGGAUUUUCCACUUUUUCCUCAUGGGCUUUCCUUGGAUGACUCUGUCAGCCCAUUAUGCCUUAUUGCGCAUCCAACGAACCCACAUGGACCCCUAGGGGCGUGGUGGGCCCACCCAGUGGGCCCCUAGAAUCCAUUCAUCACUCCCGGUACACAUCCGGCAAUGCCCGAAAACCAUCCGGAAUCCAAAUACCAACUUCCUAUAUAUCAAUCUUCGUUUUUGGACCAUUCCGGAACUCCUCGUGAUGUCCGGGAUCUCAUCCGGGACUCCUAAAAAAACUUCGGUCACCAACACAUAAAACUCAACUAUACCGAAACGUCACCGAACCUUAAGUGUGCAGACCCUGCGGGUUCGAGAACUAUGCAGACAUGACCUGAGACACUCUCUAGUCAAUAACCAAUAGUGGGACCUGGAUGUCCAUAUUGGCUCCCACAUAUUCUAAAAAUAUAUCUAUCGGUUGAACCUCUAUGUCAAGGAUUCAGUUUAUCCCGUAUGAUGUUCCCUUUGUCCUUCGGUAUAUUACUUGCCCGAGAUUCGAUCGUCGGUAUCUCCAUACCUAGUUCAAUCUAGUUACCGGCAAGUCUCUUUACUCGGUCUGUCAUACAAGAUGAUGUAACUAACUCCUUAGUCACAUUGCUUGCAAGACUUGUUGUGAUGUUGUAUUACCGAGUGGGCCCCAAGAUACCUCUCCGUUACACGGAGUGACAAAUCCCAGUCUUGAUCCAUGCCAACCCAACAGACACCUUUGGAGAUACCUGUAGAGCACCUUUAUAGUCACCUAGUUACGUUGUGACGUUUGAUAACCCACGAGGUAUUCCUCCGGUGUCUGUGAGUUGCAUGAUCUCAUGGUCAUAGGAACAGAUACAUUGACAUGCAGAAAACAGUAGCAAUAAGCUGACACGAUCAUACGCUACGUUUAUAGUUUGGGUCUUGUCCAUCACAUCAUUCUCCUAAUGAUGUGAUCCUGUUAUCAAGUGACAACACUUGUCUAUGGUUAGGAAACCUUAACCAUCUUGGAUCAACGAGCUAGUCAACUAGAGGCUUACUAGGGACAAUGUUUUGUCUAUGUAUCCACACGUGUAUUUGUGUUUCCAAUCAAUACAAUUGUAGCAUGGAUAAUAAAAGAUUAUCAUGAACAAAGAAAUAUAAUAAUAACUAAUUUAUUAUUGCCUCUAGGGCAUAUUUCCAACAUGAUAUUCACCACACAUAUGCAUGACAUGAUGCACAAACACAUAUGAUGCAUGUCUAGUUUAAUUAUGCAAGGCAUGCCACAUCACAACAAUUGAAUACUACACAUUAAGUGAAGCUCACUAUGGACCAAGUUGCAUAUUGAAGAAACUCCACGUUUAAAUUAUUUAGUUCACUCCCGUUUAGGUACAUGACAAAGUUAAAUGUUGUUAAACAUGGCAAGAGGAGAAGCAUAAAUAAACUACACUAUCUAGGCAUUUUAAAUGAGGUCGGAAACAACAUAUAGCAUUUCCAAAAUAACCCCAUAUGUUAAUUUGGAAAUCUGUCCUGAUUUGAUCUGAACGUAUAUUAUAUUUAUUAAACAACAAACUAAAGUGGAGCAUGUGAUUCUACGCGUCAUUCUAGUCGGGUUACAUAUAUAGAACAUUGGAAAUGGAGCUAUGGCUUAAAAGAUAUGAGCUACACAAGAUGACACUGUAAGAAUGUAACAUGUAUGCAAAUUUCAGCCACAAGCAUGGUAAAACAUGGAUGGACAAGAUAAUAUGAAACUACAUGGAUAUUUACGCAAGUUUAAAUGAGGUCGGAGCAAUGAAUAACAAUUCUGAAAAGUCUCCAUAUAUAAUCUUGAAUUUGCUACAGAUCUGCCUAAAACACAAUUUCAUAGUUAUUAAGCAGCAAAAUAAAUGUCACCAUGUUAUUAUACACAUUUUUCAAACCAAGUUACAUAUAUGGAACAUUUUAAUCAGAGCUAAGCUUAAUUAGUUAUGAAAUAAACCAUUUUAACAUGACGUCUAUGCAAAUUUAGUUAAAAAGCACAUUUAAAUACUUUUAACAUGCAUGAAAGUGGCAUAUUCUUAAUCUACACAAAAUUCUAGACAUUUAAAUACUUUUAUGCAUGGUUAUUUAAUUACGAGCAUUUUAAAAUAUGCAUCUAUUCUGAAAUUAUAAACGUCCUAGCAAUUAAAUAAAUUCGGCCACGAGAAAAAAAACAUGGGCCGAAUCUCGAUCUGGCCCAACACGGGCACGUGGGCGUUGGAUGACUAAGUGACGCUGAGGGCGUAGCUUAGCAGGAAGGUUGGGGCUCACCUUGGCCAUCAUGGGCCGACUCGGGGAGGCGUCUGGGCCUUGUGGGGUGACGCGGCGAGGCUGGGCCGCAUGGGGGCGCCGGUCCACGCAUGCGUAGGCCGGGCGCUAGGCUGUGAAGCGGGCCGACUGGGCCGGCCCAUGCGGGGUCAACGCGAGAGACAAGCUCGUCAUCUCCCGAGCGAGAUGGGAGGCCAUAGCGGUGGCGAGGCAGCAGCUCGUCCUCGCGAGGCAGGGAAGUGGUACCGGGGGUUCCGGGAGGCGGAUCCGACCUCGGGGCCGCCGGAUCUGAAGCGGGGCGGCUGGCAACGGUGCUCGGAGUCGGGGCGGCGGCUUCCUGCAUGUAGAGCGGCCAUGGCUGUGCGGGGAGUUGCUGGCGGCACGGGCACUCCAGCGAGGCAAGCUCCGGCGAGGGAGCGAGGGGCGGACGCGCAAUGAGGCGACGUGCUCCGGCGGCAGGCCGACGAGGCGGCCUCUGGCCGGAGGCGGAGUAGAUCAGAGAGGCGGCUUUGGCGCUACAGGGGAGCCAUGGGAAGGCUUUGGCAGCUACGGGCACAAGCUUGCGGCGACAGCUACGGUGGCCCGAUCUGGGCCCGGGCGGGCUAGAUCUGGGUCCUGCGGGCCCGUGGCGUCUGGGAGGAAGCGCGGGUCAGUUCGCUAGCAGUGGAGCCCGUGGUGGAAGAGGGGUUAGGUCUAAAUGAGGCAGGUUGGGGUAUAUUUAUAGCAAAAUGGGGCUAGGG